rnacentral:rRNA from 1 species
UACGUAGGGGCUAGCGUUAUCCGGAAUUACUGGGCGUAAAGGGUGCGUAGGUGGUUUCUUAAGUCAGAGGUGAAAGGCUACGGCUCAACCGUAGUAAGCCUUUGAAACUGGGAAACUUGAGUGCAGGAGAGUAGAGUGGAAUUCCUAGUGUAGCGGUGAAAUGCGUAGAUAUUAGGAGGAACACCAGUUGCGAAGGCGGCUCUCUGGACUGUAACUGACACUGAGGCACGAAAGCGUGGGGAGCAAACAGGAUUAGAUACCCUGUUAGUCCCUGAG